rnacentral:rRNA from 1 species
UACGGAGGAUGCAAGCGUUAUCCGGAUUUACUGGGUUUAAAGGGUGCGUAGGCGGACAGGUCAGUCAGUGGUGAAAGCCCGCAGCUUAACUGCGGAACGGCCAUUGAUACUGCUUGUCUUGAGUACAGUUGAGGUGGGCGGAAUAUGUCAUGUAGUGGUGAAAUACUUAGAUAUGACAUAGAACACCGAUUGCGAAGGCAGCUCGCUAAACUGUUACUGACGCUGAGGCACGAAAGCGUGGGGAGCAAACAGG